GCAUGCUUAACACAUGCAAGUCGAACGGUAACAGGAAGAAGCUUGCUUCUUUGCUGACGAGUGGCGGACGGGUGAGUAAUACUUAGGAAUCUACCCAGUAGUGGGGGACAACUUCCGGAAACGGGAGCUAAUACCGCAUACACCCUAAGGGGAAAAGUGGAGGAUCUUCGGACUUCACGCUAUUGGAUGAGCCUAAGUCGGAUUAGCUUGUUGGUGAGGUAAAGGCUCACCAAGGCAACGAUCCGUAGCUGGUCUGAGAGGACGAUC
rnacentral:rRNA from 1 species